AAAAAACUCAUGGGGAGAAGCACCAUAACUAAUUGAAACUAGGGGUGGGCGUGGGACGAGAUGGGACGGGAUUGAGGUCAUCCCACAACUCGUCCUAGACGUUGCACUCGGGACGGGAUCGGGAUCGGGACGGGCCUUGCGUUUUAGAAAGUUGAUCCUAGCUAAGUCCCGUCCCGAACGGGAUCGGGACGGGACGGGCCUAGUCCUGGCCACCAAAACUGAAAAAAAAUAAAAUCUAAUAACUUGGUUCUAAUGAUCUGGUUCUACAUCCAUAUGAAAAUAUUUCAAAAUCUGAACAUCCAUAAUCCAAAAUGUCUGAGGAAUGGCAAAGUAGAAUAAAACUAGAAUAACACCCUUAACCCAUAAUCAAACUAGAAUUAACCAAUCAUAAAUCUAAUGUACUUGUAAUCACAAUGAAAGCUCAGUUCAUAUGAGGGGCACAUUGAUUUAUUAAGGUCACCAAAUAUAAACGUCUCUUCCUCGUUACCAGUAUCAUCUACUUUAUUCAAUUAUGUCAAAUAACCAAUUCAUACAUAUAUGCCAAAGUCACCAUAGCCAAUGAAAGUACUACUGUUAGCCUCCAAAGUUUAUGCUCAUCUUCGACUCUCUGUCAAUUGAAUUAAGACGAGGAAUAAUCAAGCUCAAGGUUCAACUAAAGAUCGAGGAUUGACCCAUGGAACCCUAACCAAUGUUUUUGCGGUGAACACAGUAGUCCAAUAACCCAGAAAACCAAUUCCGUAAAAACCCAAUCGAAUCCAGAAACGAAAUCAAAUUGGAGGGCUACUUACACAAUCUUGUAGAGUUUGAUAAUUCGAUCAUCUUCUUACUGGUAAGAAAGGCCGAGGCGCCGGAAAAGUCGUCAGUGCUGAAGAACAAAGACGAAUACAGUAACGGGGUUUUGCGAUGAGAGAGGUGAUGAGAAGGAUUUCAAGAUUAGUCAGACGUGAAUUGCAAAUGAAAUGAGGGUUACUGGUUAGUAUUAUGGGUCAAAACCAACCGUUGAGAUGAAAAAACCAACGGCUAAUAUCACUUUUAAUUUAUACACGGGAUGGGACGGGCCUUACGGGUCUUAAACUUUCAAUCCCAUGGCCCAUCCCGUUGUUUUUCUUACGGGACGGGACGGGACGGACCUAGUGUUUUUACAUUGAAAUCCCAUCCCAUCCCGUCAAAUUUCAGGACGGAACCGGGACGGGAUCGGGAUUUCCAUUUUUUAUGCCCAGCCCUAAUUGAAACAUAAGUCUCCCUAACAACAUCAAAUCCAAAAAAAAUGAGAUUUGAUGAAGGAUAAAGUGUAGAGACAAAGAGAUAGCAAGAGAAUCAUCAUCUUAUUCAUUGAUAGGAGCCCUUUAUAUAGGGAAUUACACAAUACCAAUAUGGUAAGGAUAUGAAUACAUAGAUCUAGUCUAACUACAUAUCCUAUUGGCAUAAGGUCAAGGCACACAUAGAGAAUAUCCUAGAACGCUCCCCCUUGUGCCGCGCGCUGAUAUGUCGAUGGUG
rnacentral:lncRNA from 1 species